rnacentral:rRNA from 1 species
GAUGAACGCUGACAGAAUGCUUAACACAUGCAAGUCAACUUGAACUUCGGUUUGGGUGGCGGACGGGUGAGUAACGCGUAAAGAACUUGCCUCACAGAUAGGGACAACAUUUGGAAACGAAUGCUAAUACCUGAUAUUAUGAUUUUAGGGCAUCCUAGGAUUAUGAAAGCUAUAUGCGCUGUGAGAGAGCUUUGCGUCCCAUUAGCUAGUUGGAGAGGUAACGGCUCACCAAGGCGAUGAUGGGUAGCCGGCCUGAGAGGGUGAUCGGCCACAAGGGGACUGCGACACGGCCCUUACUCCUACGGGAGGAAGCAGUGGGGAAUAUUGGACAAUGGACCAAGAGUCUGAUCCAGAAAUUCGGUGUGCACGAUGAAGUUUUUCGGAAUGUAAAGUGCUUUCAGUUGGGAAGAAAAAAAUGACGGUACCAACAGAAGAAGUGACGGCUAAAUACGUG